UACCACUUGUUGCCUCGGCGGAUCAGCCCGCUCCCGGUAAAACGGGACGGCCCGCCAGAGGACCCCUAAACUCUGUUUCUAUAUGUAACUUCUGAGUAAAACCAUAAAUAAAUCAAAACUUUCAACAACGGAUCUCUUGGUUCUGGCAUCGAUGAAGAACGCAGCAAAAUGCGAUAAGUAAUGUGAAUUGCAGAAUUCAGUGAAUCAUCGAAUCUUUGAACGCACAUUGCGCCCGCCAGUAUUCUGGCGGGCAUGCCUGUUCGAGCGUCAUUUCAACCCUCAAGCACAGCUUGGUGUUGGGACUCGCGUUAAUUCGCGUUCCCCAAAUUGAUUGGCGGUCACGUCGAGCUUCCAUAGCGUAGUAGUAAAACCCUCGUUACUGGUAAUCGUCGCGGCCACGCCGUUAAACCCCAACUUCUGAAUGUUGACCUCGGAUCAGGUAGGAAUACCCGCUGAACUUAA
rnacentral:rRNA from 1 species